CUUCCAGCUCCCGCCCGGCGGCUGUGACUGCCCCGGCGAGUCGCAGAGCGGGGAGUGGGCACGGAGUAGGGAGCGGAGAGGGAAGGAGGAGGAGGAGCAAAGGUGUUGGAGAGAAAACUUCAGAAAGGAACAGGAAACCUGCCGGGGAGGCGGCGGCGGCUGCGGCUUCUCUGGGCGCCGGGGCUGCGCUCUUCGCGGGGUGUCCGCAGCUGCGGCUUGGCCCCUGCCUGGCUUCCCCGGCGCGCACGCACGGCUGAGCCGCGACGCUUGGUGGCUCGGGCUGUGCCCUCCGCCGCGACUCUUGGCCGCUGCCGUCCCGUGCUCCGAUCCGCUCGUGCCUCGGCGGCUCCCUGGAGAGAGAGCGGCGAGGGCGCAGGGAAGAAGAGGGACGUCCACUGUGGAACAUGAAGCAGCAUGACUGAUAAAAUGUCCAGCUUCCUCUACAUAGGGGACAUCGUGUCCCUGUACGCGGAGGGCUCGGUCAACGGCUUCAUCAGCACCUUGGGGUUAGUGGAUGACAGAUGUGUGGUGCACCCAGAGGCCGGGGACCUUGCCAACCCUCCCAAGAAGUUCAGAGACUGCCUUUUCAAGGUGUGCCCUAUGAACCGAUAUUCUGCCCAGAAGCAAUAUUGGAAAGCCAAGCAAGCCAAACAAGGGAACCACACCGAGGCAGCCUUGCUGAAGAAACUACAGCACGCUGCAGAACUGGAACAAAAACAAAAUGAAUCAGAGAAUAAGAAGCUGUUGGGAGAAAUUGUGAAAUACAGUAAUGUUAUACAACUACUGCAUAUAAAAAGCAAUAAAUAUCUUACUGUCAACAAGAGAUUGCCUGCUUUACUGGAGAAGAAUGCCAUGCGUGUGUCCUUGGAUGCUGCGGGAAACGAAGGGUCUUGGUUUUAUAUUCAUCCCUUCUGGAAGCUGAGAAGCGAGGGUGACAAUAUUGUUGUAGGAGAUAAAGUUGUUUUGAUGCCUGUGAAUGCAGGACAGCCACUACAUGCCAGCAACAUAGAGCUUCUUGAUAACCCAGGGUGUAAAGAGGUGAAUGCUGUUAAUUGCAACACCAGCUGGAAAAUCACUUUAUUCAUGAAAUAUAGUUCCUAUCGAGAGGAUGUAUUAAAAGGAGGGGACGUUGUUAGAUUGUUUCAUGCGGAACAAGAGAAGUUUUUGACUUGUGAUGAAUACGAGAAAAAACAGCACAUUUUCCUUCGUACAACCUUGCGCCAAUCAGCUACUUCUGCUACUAGUUCUAAAGCGCUGUGGGAAAUAGAGGUGGUUCAUCAUGACCCAUGCCGUGGGGGUGCAGGACAGUGGAACAGCUUGUUCAGAUUUAAACAUCUUGCAACUGGAAACUAUUUAGCUGCAGAGCUUAAUCCUGAUUAUCGAGAUGCCCAAAAUGAAGGAAAAAAUGUGAGAGAUGACCAUCCAACUUCAAAGAAAAAACGCCAGGCAGGGGAGAAGAUCAUGUAUACUUUGGUUUCAGUCCCACAUGGCAAUGACAUUGCAUCCCUUUUUGAACUAGAUGCCACAACUCUUCAGAGAGCUGACUGCCUGGUUCCAAGGAACUCAUAUGUUCGGUUAAGGCAUUUAUGCACCAACACAUGGGUAACCAGUACUAGUAUCCCCAUAGACACAGAUGAAGAGAGGCCUGUUAUGUUAAAGAUUGGAACCUGCCAAACCAAAGAAGAUAAAGAAGCGUUCGCCAUCGUGUCUGUCCCACUGUCUGAAGUUCGAGACUUAGACUUUGCCAAUGAUGCCAAUAAAGUACUAGCGACCACAGUUAAAAAGCUAGAAAAUGGCACAAUAACUCAGAAUGAAAGGAGGUUUGUAACCAAAUUAUUGGAAGACCUCAUCUUCUUUGUUGCUGAUGUGCCUAAUAAUGGACAAGAAGUUCUGGAUGUGGUUAUCACUAAGCCAAACCGAGAGCGUCAAAAAUUGAUGAGGGAACAAAACAUACUGGCGCAGGUAUUUGGAAUUCUUAAAGCACCCUUUAAAGAGAAAGCGGGAGAAGGCUCAAUGCUACGACUUGAAGAUCUGGGGGAUCAAAGAUAUGCACCCUACAAGUACAUGCUGCGGCUCUGUUACCGUGUCCUGAGACACUCUCAGCAGGAUUACCGGAAAAAUCAGGAAUAUAUUGCUAAGAAUUUCUGUGUCAUGCAGUCCCAGAUUGGCUAUGAUAUUUUGGCAGAAGAUACUAUCACAGCUUUGUUGCACAACAACAGAAAACUACUAGAGAAACAUAUCACAGCAAAAGAAAUAGAAACAUUUGUCAGUUUACUCAGGAGAAAUCGGGAGCCAAGGUUUUUGGAUUAUUUGUCAGAUCUGUGUGUGUCUAAUACCACUGCUAUUCCUGUAACUCAAGAACUCAUCUGUAAAUUUAUGUUGAGUCCAGGCAAUGCAGACAUUCUCAUUCAAACUAAGGUGGUCUCAAUGCAAGCAGACAACCCCAUGGAGAGCUCCAUCCUUUCAGAUGACAUUGACGAUGAAGAAGUUUGGCUCUAUUGGAUUGACAGCAACAGGGAACCUCAUGGCAAAGCUAUCAGGCACCUUGCUCAAGAGGCAAAAGAAGGCACCAAAGCUGACUUAGAAGUUCUUACCUAUUACAGGUACCAGCUAAACCUCUUUGCAAGGAUGUGCUUGGAUCGCCAGUAUCUGGCCAUAAACCAGAUUUCUACACAGCUCUCUGUAGACCUGAUCCUGCGGUGUGUGUCGGAUGAGAGCCUGCCGUUCGACCUCCGAGCGUCCUUCUGUCGCCUCAUGCUCCACAUGCACGUUGACCGGGAUCCCCAGGAGUCUGUGGUGCCUGUUCGCUAUGCCAGGCUCUGGACAGAAAUCCCCACAAAGAUCACAAUUCAUGAAUAUGAUUCUAUAACAGACUCUUCCCGAAAUGAUAUGAAGAGGAAAUUUGCCCUGACAAUGGAAUUUGUUGAAGAAUAUUUGAAAGAAGUCGUAAACCAGCCCUUUCCUUUUGGGGAUAAAGAAAAAAAUAAACUGACAUUUGAGGUGGUCCACUUGGCUCGGAAUCUUAUAUACUUUGGAUUUUAUAGUUUCAGUGAGUUAUUAAGGCUAACAAGAACACUUCUGGCUAUUUUAGACAUUGUACAGGCCCCCAUGUCAUCAUACUUUGAAAGAUUAAGCAAAUUUCAAGAUGGAGGAAACAAUGUGAUGAGAACCAUUCAUGGGGUGGGAGAGAUGAUGACCCAGAUGGUACUCAGUAGAGGCUCCAUCUUCCCCAUGAGCGUGCCAGAUGUGCCACCCAGCAUCCACCCGAGCAAGCAAGGGAGCCCCGCUGAGCAUGAGGAUGUGACUGUGAUGGACACCAAGCUGAAGAUCAUUGAGAUUUUGCAGUUUAUCCUGAGUGUCAGACUAGAUUAUAGGAUCUCAUAUAUGCUGUCGAUAUAUAAGAAGGAGUUUGGAGAGGACAAUGACAAUGCGGAGACAUCUGCCAAUGGAUCUCCAGAUACUUUACUACCAUCAGCUAUUGUUCCUGAUAUAGAUGAAAUUGCAGCUCAGGCAGAAACUAUGUUUGCGGGAAGAAAGGAAAAAAACCCAGUUCAACUUGAUGAUGAAGGAGGCAGGACAUUUUUACGGGUCCUCAUUCAUCUGAUCAUGCACGACUACCCGCCUUUGCUGUCUGGAGCCCUGCAGCUGUUGUUUAAGCACUUCAGCCAGAGGGCGGAGGUUUUACAGGCAUUUAAGCAGGUGCAAUUACUGGUGUCUAAUCAAGAUGUAGAUAACUACAAGCAAAUCAAGGCAGAUCUAGACCAGCUUCGACUGACAGUGGAGAAGUCUGAGCUAUGGGUUGAGAAGAGCAGCAACUAUGAGAACGGAGAAAUAGGGGAAAGUCAAGUGAAAGGCGGUGAAGAGCCAAUUGAGGAAUCGAACAUUUUAAGUCCAGUGCAGGAUGGAACAAAGAAACCUCAGAUUGACAGCAACAAGAGCAAUAACUACCGGAUUGUAAAGGAGAUUUUGAUUAGGCUAAGUAAACUCUGUGUACAGAAUAAAAAGUGUCGGAUUCAACAUCAACGAUUACUGAAAAAUAUGGGGGCACAUUCAGUGGUGUUAGAUCUUCUCCAGAUACCCUACGAAAAGAACGAUGAAAAGAUGAACGAAGUAAUGAAUCUAGCCCAUACGUUUCUGCAGAAUUUCUGUCGAGGAAAUCCACAGAAUCAAGUUCUUCUUCAUAAACAUCUGAAUUUGUUUUUAACUCCAGGUCUCCUUGAAGCAGAAACCAUGCGGCACAUCUUCAUGAACAAUUACCAUCUGUGCAACGAAAUUAGCGAGAGAGUUGUACAGCACUUUGUGCACUGCAUUGAGACACAUGGCCGCCACGUGGAGUACCUGAGGUUUUUGCAAACAAUUGUGAAAGCAGAUGGUAAAUAUGUGAAGAAAUGCCAGGAUAUGGUAAUGACAGAGUUGAUAAAUGGGGGUGAAGACGUGCUGAUAUUUUACAAUGAUAGAGCGUCAUUUCCAAUCCUUCUCCAUAUGAUGUGUUCAGAGAGAGACCGAGGGGAUGAGAGUGGCCCCUUAGCCUACCACAUCACCCUGGUGGAGCUGCUGGCAGCAUGCACAGAGGGGAAAAAUGUCUACACUGAAAUCAAGUGUAAUUCCCUUCUCCCGCUGGACGACAUAGUGAGGGUGGUGACCCAUGACGACUGCAUCCCUGAGGUUAAAAUUGCUUAUGUGAACUUUGUUAAUCACUGUUAUGUUGACACUGAAGUGGAAAUGAAAGAAAUCUAUACAAGUAACCACAUUUGGAAAUUAUUUGAGAACUUCUUGGUGGAUAUGGCAAGGGUUUGCAACACAACUACAGACAGGAAACAUGCAGACAUCUUUUUGGAAAAGUGUGUUACUGAGUCAAUAAUGAAUAUUGUGAGCGGCUUCUUUAAUUCCCCCUUUUCAGACAAUAGUACCAGCCUCCAGACACAUCAGCCAGUUUUUAUUCAGCUACUGCAAUCUGCCUUCAGAAUUUACAAUUGCACCUGGCCAAACCCAUCACAGAAAGCCUCGGUGGAAUCCUGUAUCAGAACUUUGGCUGAAGUGGCAAAAAAUCGUGGAAUUGCCAUUCCAGUGGAUUUGGACGGCCAAGUUAAUACUCUUUUCAUGAAGAGCCAUUCAAAUAUGGUGCAGAGAGCAGCAAUGGGUUGGAGACUAUCAGCUCGUUCUGGGCCACGCUUUAAGGAAGCUCUUGGAGGGCCUUCUUGGGAUUACAGAAAUAUUAUUGAAAAGUUACAGGAUGUAGUGGCCUCCUUGGAGCACCAGUUCAGCCCAAUGAUGCAGGCUGAAUUCUCAGUGUUGGUUGAUGUAUUGUACAGUCCAGAGCUGCUGUUCCCUGAGGGAAGCGAUGCAAGAAUAAGAUGUGGCGCUUUCAUGUCAAAGUUGAUUAAUCAUACAAAGAAACUAAUGGAGAAAGAAGAAAAACUGUGCAUUAAAAUUCUUCAGACAUUACGAGAAAUGUUAGAGAAGAAAGACAGCUUUGUGGAAGAGGGUAACACAUUAAGAAAGAUACUUCUGAAUCGAUACUUUAAAGGUGAUUAUAGUAUUGGCAUGAAUGGACACCUAUCAGGAGCCUACUCCAAAACUGCACAGGUGGGAGGAAGCUUUUCUGGACAAGAUUCAGAUAAGAUGGGGAUAUCAAUGUCAGAUAUUCAGUGUCUGCUGGAUAAAGAAGGUGCAUCAGAACUUGUCAUCGAUGUUAUAGUGAACACCAAAAAUGACAGAAUUUUUUCAGAAGGCAUUUUCCUCGGCAUUGCCUUGCUCGAAGGAGGAAAUACACAAACACAGUAUUCUUUCUACCAGCAGUUGCAUGAACAAAAAAAGUCAGAAAAAUUCUUUAAAGUUCUCUAUGAUCGAAUGAAGGCUGCUCAGAAAGAAAUAAGAUCAACAGUGACAGUUAAUACCAUAGAUUUAGGUAGCAAAAAAAGGGACGAUGACAAUGAAUUGAUGACAUCUGGUCCACGAAUGAGAGUAAGAGAUUCAACACUACAUUUAAAAGAGGGAAUGAAAGGGCAAUUAACAGAAGCUUCUUCAGCAACAUCCAAAGCAUAUUGUGUAUACAGAAGAGAAAUGGAUCCAGAAAUAGACAUUAUGUGCACAGGACCAGAAGCAGGAAACACUGAGGAAAAAUCUGCAGAGGAAGUAACAAUGAGUCCUGCAAUUGCCAUCAUGCAGCCAAUACUGAGAUUUCUUCAGUUACUGUGUGAGAAUCACAACCGAGAAUUACAGAACUUCUUGAGGAAUCAAAACAACAAAACAAAUUACAACCUUGUCUGUGAGACCCUUCAGUUUCUGGACUGCAUUUGCGGAAGUACAACCGGUGGCCUGGGCCUGUUGGGUCUCUACAUCAAUGAGAAGAACGUAGCACUGGUCAACCAGACCCUGGAGAGCUUGACUGAGUAUUGCCAGGGCCCCUGCCAUGAAAAUCAGACCUGUAUCGCUACACAUGAGUCUAAUGGGAUUGAUAUCAUCAUUGCUUUGAUUCUGAAUGACAUAAACCCUCUUGGUAAAUACCGAAUGGAUCUGGUGCUCCAGCUAAAGAACAAUGCAUCUAAACUUUUGCUGGCCAUUAUGGAAAGCAGACAUGACAGCGAGAACGCAGAAAGAAUUCUUUUUAACAUGAGACCCAGAGAACUGGUGGAUGUGAUGAAGAAUGCCUACAACCAAGGAUUGGAAUGUGACCAUGGGGAUGACGAGGGUGGAGAUGAUGGUGUUUCUCCAAAAGAUGUUGGACACAAUAUCUAUAUUCUGGCCCAUCAGUUGGCCCGCCACAAUAAACUGUUGCAGCAGAUGCUCAAACCAGGAUCGGAUCCAGAUGAAGGAGAUGAAGCCUUAAAGUAUUAUGCCAACCACACUGCACAGAUUGAGAUUGUCCGGCAUGAUAGGACCAUGGAACAAAUAGUUUUUCCUGUCCCCAAUAUAUGUGAAUACCUCACUCGAGAAUCCAAGUGCCGUGUGUUCAAUACAACUGAAAGGGAUGAACAAGGAAGUAAAGUGAAUGACUUUUUCCAGCAAACAGAAGAUCUCUACAAUGAAAUGAAGUGGCAAAAGAAAAUCAGGAAUAACCCUGCACUGUUCUGGUUCUCGAGGCACAUCUCUCUCUGGGGGAGCAUUUCCUUCAACCUGGCUGUGUUCAUCAAUUUAGCUGUUGCUCUCUUCUACCCAUUCGGGGAUGAUGGAGAUGAAGGUACACUUUCUCCAUUGUUCUCGGUUCUUCUUUGGAUAGCAGUUGCGAUCUGCACAUCUAUGCUGUUUUUCUUCUCCAAGCCUGUGGGUAUUCGGCCGUUUCUUGUAUCAAUAAUGCUCAGAUCAAUAUACACAAUAGGUCUUGGGCCUACCUUAAUACUUCUUGGUGCAGCUAAUCUUUGUAAUAAAAUUGUAUUUCUGGUGAGUUUUGUUGGAAAUCGUGGCACGUUCACCCGUGGGUACCGAGCAGUCAUCCUGGAUAUGGCCUUUCUCUAUCACGUGGCGUAUGUCCUGGUUUGCAUGCUGGGCCUUUUUGUCCAUGAAUUCUUCUAUAGCUUCCUGCUUUUUGAUUUGGUGUACAGAGAAGAGACUCUGCUGAAUGUCAUAAAAAGUGUCACACGAAAUGGCCGCUCUAUUAUUCUAACUGCAGUCCUGGCUCUCAUCCUCGUCUACCUGUUUUCCAUUAUUGGGUUCCUUUUUUUGAAGGAUGACUUCACUAUGGAAGUUGAUAGGCUGAAAAACCGAACUCCUGUUACAGGCAGUCAUCAAGUGCCUACCAUGACUUUAACUACCAUGAUGGAAGCAUGUGCCAAGGAGAACUGUUCACCCACAAUUCCAGCUUCAAAUACAGCUGAUGAAGAGUAUGAAGAUGGAAUUGAAAGGACGUGUGACACUCUCCUUAUGUGCAUUGUCACUGUGCUGAACCAGGGCCUCAGGAACGGCGGUGGCGUGGGGGAUGUGCUAAGAAGGCCAUCAAAAGAUGAGCCCUUGUUUGCUGCCCGAGUGGUUUAUGACCUUCUUUUUUAUUUCAUUGUUAUCAUUAUUGUUCUGAACUUGAUUUUUGGUGUUAUCAUCGACACUUUUGCUGAUCUCAGAAGUGAAAAACAGAAAAAAGAAGAAAUUCUAAAGACAACUUGUUUCAUCUGUGAGCACUGUGGCAGCUUUGGGAGGUCAUUCAUCAGGAAACAGUACCAGAAGCAGAGUCAUCAGGACUUGAGAGAGACAAGUUUGAUAAUAAAACGGUUUCAUUUGAGGAACACAUUAAGUCAGAACACAAUAUGUGGCAUUAUUUGUACUUCAUAGUCCUGGUGAAAGUUAAAGACCCAACAGAAUACACUGGACCUGAAAGUUACGUGGCUCAAAUGAUUGUGGAGAAGAAUUUGGAUUGGUUUCCUCGGAUGCGAGCCAUGUCCCUCGUUAGCAAUGAAGGCGACAGUGAGCAAAAUGAAAUUCGGAACCUUCAGGAGAAGUUGGAAUCGACCAUGAGUCUAGUCAAACAGCUGUCGGGUCAGCUGGCAGAGCUCAAGGAGCAGAUGACAGAACAAAGGAAGAAUAAGCAGAGACUGGGCUUCCUCGGAUCAAACACACCCCAUGUGAAUCAUCACAUGCCACCACACUGAUACCAUGGGGGGAAGCCGUGACUAGCCUUUCAUCAGUGUCCUGCCUGAUCACUGAAUAAAGAACUGAGAUGGAGGGGAGUGAACAGUGCCUAUUGUUGAAAAGUUAAAAACAACCAAGUGCCAAGAUGUUGAGUGGGUUAGCUCCGAGAACAAUUUAUAACUGUGUUUUCAUGGUUGCGAAGACCUAACCUCAAAUGCAUCUGCUAGAAAGCGUACAUCACACAUUUGCAAUGCAACAGGAAGAAAAGGCUUGCCCAAAAGGCUGGAGAGGGCAGGGAGCGGCAGGGUGGAAGGAGACACGGGGCAGAGAGAACUAUCUUCUGCUAAAUCGAUAGGAGUCAGUUUUGCCUUAAGUGCUGACUGCAGCCACUGACAUGGUUGGCUGGAAUUUCUUUCUUUUAAUUGUGGCAUAUAGGUUCGUGAUACAAGAAGUCAUACUUUGGUGGCUAAGUUUUCCUAAGGAAAAUAACUGAAAAGAUGAAAAGUGAGAGUUGAAAAGAGAAAUGAUAAUGCUUCCAAACUGUAGCUGUCACAGGGCAAUUUCUUUAUUUAUAACAUGAAGCACAAUGGAUUUACAGCUCUAGGAACUUAGUACUUUGGAGCUUUUGCCUCUCAUGCUGACAACAUAACAGAAUGUGAUUGCCUUCUCCGGAUUCAGGCAGGCUCUGUCAAUGUGGAGCACAAAAGGAGAUUUUUGUAUAACUUGUUGAAAACAUGCUCUAAGUCAUGGAUAGGCUAAGAUUUUUUAAAGAUCUGGGGGAAUAAAAAGCCAACAGUAAACCCCAGGAAAGGGUUUUUAGAGACCAUGUGUAUGCUAUUAAAAUAUAUUGAGAUUAAUACAUGAACAUGCUUAAAGGUGAUAGGAAUUACUGAGAAACUUAUGGUGGUGGCAUUGCCUUUUCUAAACCUGGAGUGAAAGCUAUUUGACUCAUGUUUGCUGUGCCUAAAGAACUGCUUCAGGAACUGAGCAUUUUUAUUUAUGGUAUUCCUGCAGUUAGGAAAAAAAAAAAUCCAAGAAAUGUAUUGAAUACUCAAGAAAAUGCCGCAUUUCAAUUACGUAUUUAAAACUGUAUCUGAAAGGGCUUUUCAAAAUGUAGAAAGACAAAAACCUCUUAUUCGAAUUGUUUUUAUGUUAAAUCAUGCACUCAGAAUUUGUGGAGGGAGAGAACCUGGCGUGUUCAGGUUAUUCUUAGAGACUACACGUUUGGAAUAGCAGAGCAAAAUGUGGAAAAUUAAAGUGUUAGGAAAAGAAGCGGUGUGUUGGGACCCAGAGCAAUGAAUUUUUGAACUGAAGCUACUGGUACUCCCCAGCACCACCUCAUACUAAGAAUUCCUCACUCUGACAUGGUAGUAUUUUUUCUGACCAGGAGCUGAAAGACCCUGACAUUCGUGAUCCAAAGAUAUAAGAAAUUUUGAUAUGUCUGCAUGUAGCACAGAACUUUGAACCUAACAGGCAGUCAAUAAAUACAUGAGAAAUUUAGCUGUCAUUCAGUUACUCUUAAUUCUUUAUAAAACUUUAAGCGAUAGCACAUAUUUGUUUGUUUUAAAUGGCUUUCCCAAAAUCAAAGUAGACUAAAGCAGCCAUCUUUAAAAUCCAGGAUCAUCAAUGCUAUUAACAGUAUCAGGUUAAAAGUACACUUUAAAAUAUUUUAAUCAGGCAGAGUUUUAUGGAUAGAGAAUAGAAGAGAAAGGUGGUAAAUGCUGAACAUAUUCCAAUAUAGGAACCUAUCUCUAUUUUAGUACAAAAUAAAAUAUUUCUGACAUCUGAACUAGAGGUCAAGAGAAUAAAUUCAUUUGUACACAUCUGAGCAACCUGUCUUUCAGAUGAUAAAGUAUCUAGCCUUUUCUGACACCAUAAUAGUUCAUUUUGUAGGGAAUAAGCCAUUAGGUGUAUAUAAUUGCUAUCUAGAAAUGACCUAAUGUCCCCAACCACUGUGUAGUGGCAGAUCACUGUUUCACAGCGUAUUUUCUCCUAAGGAAAGUAUUCAAAAGAGACUGCAACUAACAAGACUCUUAUUUCAUCAAAAUUUAAAUAUUUCUUAGUUGUAUUUUUAAUGCCUCUUUCUUUUCUGCCUAAAUGCUUAGAAAAGGCACUUUUCAGAACAUCAAAUUCCUAAUGGAGAAGAUAAUGGGGAAAUUUGACAUUUGAUAUAAAUUUAUAUUUGUUAUGUGUAUGUUUGUUAAUGCAACUGGAAUAUUUGACCUAGGUAAGUAUCAGUUAACAUCCUUGUAUUUAUAUAGUGACAUCAAAAUAAAUGCAAUCAUCUUGGACUUUGAUGUUAAGGGAGAUUUUGAAAAAAAUAUUUAGUUAUUUAAAAUCCAUAUUGGUUCAAAAAUAUUAGUUUCUGCUGAAUAAUAUUUUUAAUUUCAAAAGGGUUUUUUUCCCUCUGUACUCCAUUCUGAGGCUCAAGAGCUUAAUGCAAGUAUGUUUUCUGAGUUAACACUUUUAGAUGAGAAAAUGCUUGUAUCAUAUAGGACUAUAAUAUAAAUAAAUAAUUUAUAUGUAUGCAAAAUAUAUCAUAUUUUCUACCCCUUAAAAAGUUAAAUUAGAAAUGAGCUUAUUUUCUUACACAUCAACAUUUUUCUGUUGGUAAAGAGGACACAACUUCUAGGGAUUGUUAAUAAUAUCAGGAAGAUAUUUCAUUCAUCAGAACUAAUUGUGUGCUUCUUCCCAUAUUCUCAGCUCAUAACUCCCUGUUUUGGCUGCUCUCUUUAUUUUACAAUUGUUUUAUUGCAAACAGCAAGGCAGUAUGGCCCACACUCAGCCCCCAGCCCCCAGCCCCCAGGACUGAGAAUGAGUGGGGAGGCUGGGGAGUUGGUGAGAGAAGGUGGAGAUAGGGAUUUCUGCUUCCCAGUAUUCUUAUCAUUAGAGAAAAGGAGGGGUAAAUGUUACCUAAUAAGAAGAAAAAAGCUUAUUCUUCAGGGACCCAGUAGAUUGGAUAUAAGCAAGUAAAUAUUGCACAGGCAUCAUGAUAUAACACUUGAUGGACCCCAGAGAUACCCCUUACCCAUGCAGAGAACAAAGCUGUGUGGAAGAGCAACUGCCAUAAGAUGGUGUGUUCCCUCCAGCGGCUGUUAAAGCUAUCCUGAAUCACAAAUCAGCUAUUUCGACCUACAGACCCAUUCCAAUAUGCUGUGAUACACGACACGGUGCACCGCAGAGGAGACAGACAUCUUCAGCACAAACACAGAUGCCUGCAGGAGCUUGGCAAGUCACUAAAUUGCACGAAAUUGUGAGGUGCACACCAAAUGCAGGGAUGGGGAAGGCCGUGGGAAGCUCUGUAUUCUCAAAGUUUGACAGCUAGUUCUGGUUUUUAGAAAAUGCCUGAGGCCAGUAGAGGCCCUGUAGUCACUCAUUGCUGCUGUUUCUGAUAUAAUUAUUGAGAAAGCUAUCUCAUUUAAUAGAAGAAAACAUGCACCAUCAAAACCAGAGAGCCUAACGUGCAUGUGAAAAUCGAGAAAUCUGAAAACAAAUCCAGGUACCCUUCUCUGAACUGGAGUGUUUCCACAGACUUGAAUAAUUUAUGAAAUUAUCACACCAGUACUUCUCAUAUCACCAAGAAGACUUUCUAUCCUGCCGUAGAGGGUUACUAUAUUUGCCUAAAAACACAAUUCCAAUAUAUGUCAAGGGCAGAUAAUUUAUAAGUAAAUGUUAAUAAAAUUGGAUGUGUAUAA